GCAGUCAACCCAAGCUACUAUUUACCAACCAAAACCCUAAUGGAAGCUUAGAAAUAAGCAAGAGUACAAUGGACUAUACAACGGUCAACCAGGUAUUGUUACCUAGGUCAGGUGAAGGAAAGGGGUUGCCUAUGAAUAAGGAAUACGAAUAAAUAGGAUAGUAGUACU
ncrna:unclassified sequences RAGATH-9 RNA